AUGAAGAACGCAGCGAAAUGCGAUAAGUAAUGUGAAUUGCAGAAUUCAGUGAAUCAUCGAAUCUUUGAACGCACAUUGCGCCCUCUGGUAUUCCGGGGGGCAUGCCUGUUCGAGCGUCAUUAUAACCACUCAAGCUCUCGCUUGGUAUUGGGGUUCGCGGUUUCGCGGCCCCUAAAAUCAGUGGCGGUGCCUGUCGGCUCUACGCGUAGUAAUACUUCUCGCGAUUGAGUUCGAUAGGUCUACUUGCCAGUAACCCCCAAUUUUUACAGGUUGACCUCGGAUCAGGUAGGGAUACCCGCUGAACUUAAGCAUAUCAAUAAGCGGAGGA
rnacentral:misc_RNA from 1 species